UACUGCAACACACAGAGAGAAUGUACACACAAAAGUGAAGCGUCUCUAGCAGGAAGUGAGUGUCCACAGAAGAAUGAAAGGAAUUAUUUAAUGGUACAUCUUUUGGAUUUAGUGUACUAAUACAUGACUCCCUGGAACUGCUGGUGUCUGAGCUACACACGUGUCAUCAGUCUCUCUUGUUAAGGGCAAGUUACAGGUUUUCCAUUUGCAUAGGAUGAAAAACCUUGUGUUGCAACGAUGGUGUUCUUUAUUUUCUGGUCAAUUGUAGAAAAGACCUUUGAAGGAAUAUUCUUUUUAUGGAGGUUUAUGUGGAUUAAUCCACUGCUUGCUUUAACAGCCCGUUUCUCCAGAAGAUGCAUGGUCAAGGACACCAGGAUAACACCACAUCAGGAAAGCAACUGUUGGGAACAAGAAGACUUGUCCAGGAUCAACGACUGUGGUAAUUUAAUUCGGAAGAGACUGACCAAAGCAGAGACUGAAAUCCAGUUCCUAAAAUCUCAACUGGCCCAAGAGCGCACACUGUGGGAAGGCAGAUUCCAUGAUCUGAGGAGAAAGCAGCAAAUUUUGAGAAAGCAGGUCAGACCAGAAUCCUUUAUUAAAAGAUCGGUUAAUCAUCUACCGAAGGAAGAAGCAGAUGGUAUAAUUGAAAAAACAUGUACCCUGAAUACAACUUCAAACAAUUCAGCAGAAAUGGAAAAAUGUCAGGAUGUGAGGUCAGAGGAUCAAAAUGAGAGCAAGAAGAAUUUUUCUGAAACAGACCUGCAACAGGAAAUUGUGUCUGAGAAAAAUGAGCACUGCAGUAGCCUGAUCUGUUCCACAGCUUCACAAUGUGAUCUCCUGGAGGGUCACGUCACUCCUAGAAGUUCAGGCUCCAGAACUUGUUCUUCACUGUCAUCACCAGCUUGUUUAGAGUCAUCAAGGGAAAAGAACAAAGCAUACAGGGUGUUUGUCCCACAUUCUCACCUUGACUUACAUGUUGGCCAUCGGGUACGGGUUCUGUUGCCAUCAGGAAGAAUCAGCACUGGCACCAUUCAGUUCCUUGGAUUCCUGUCGAGCCUGCAAGACUUUCGCAUUGGGGUAGAAUUAGAGAUCCCUGAAUAUGGUCAGCAUGAUGGGGUAUUUGAAGGUCAACGCUAUUUCCACUGCAAGCCAGGUCAUGGAGUUUUUGUCAGCUUCAACAAACUGUUAAUGGCCUGGGAGUAACUUCUCCCUGUUUUCAGUGUGUGUGCCCCACAGCUCACAGUGCCUUAAGUGGAGUAUCAGACGUAUCAAGAAAGAAAUGUGUGAGAAGAAAUGUCUACAUUCUGCGUCUAAUACUUGGAAGAAUUUAAACAAGGAAAUUUGAAGCAUAUGAUACAUUCAUUUAAAUAUAUUUGGUUAUCUUUAUAUUUUCUGUCAUGAAGUAGCACUAAAAUGAAAGAGAAGCACAAUAAUCAGGUUAGGAUAAAAUCAGCAGAGUUCCUUUGAACUUCAGCCACUUAAAGGCUUCUGUGACUUUCAUUAGCACAGCUUUUGUCCUCAUGUUUAGCAAUGGCAUCUACAGACUAUGAAGGGUAGAAACAAGCCAAGGUAUCUUAUGCCUGCACUACUGAAGCAAUGAAACACACUUGAUUAACCACAAAUACCUGUGUUGCCAACUGUCCCAAAACAUUAUGGUGCCAUGAAAUGGGGGGGGGGGGACCGUGAUGUAUAAAAAGUUUUGUCAAUUCUAUAUGGUGUGAAUUAAAUGUAUACAAAUACCCUUAAAUGAAAAUCUGCAAUGUGCACUUUAUCAUGUCUGAAUAGUUUCGAUUUUUAAUUUUAAAUUGUGGAGCAGAGGGGUAAAUCAAGAUAAAUGUGUCUUUGUCCCAAACAUUAUGAACGGCACUGUAUUUAUUACCAUGCAGGUGUUUCUGGCAGCAU